AUAUGUAAAGACGAAAGCAUGUAUCUCAAAGCAACUCAACUUAUCUUAGAGAAAUGGAAGGAGUUGCUCCUGGUUACCCCAGUACAAUAAAUGGGCUCGAAGCAACAAACGCCAUUAUAAAAAGGAACACAUUUAAGAAAGACUUCCAGUGGGCCGGUUUUUGAAUAGUGUUCAAUGAAGUUGCACAGCAUCUUUGGGCUCAGAGUUCACACCUAAAGAAUUUUCCACCUU